rnacentral:rRNA from 1 species
UGGGGAAUUUUGGACAAUGGGCGCAAGCCUGAUCCAGCCAUGCCGCGUGCGGGAAGAAGGCCUUCGGGUUGUAAACCGCUUUUGUCAGGGAAGAAAUCUUCUGAGUUAAUACCUCGGGAGGAUGACGGUACCUGAAGAAUAAGCACCGGCUAACUACGUGCCAGCAGCCGCGGUAAUACGUAGGGUGCAAGCGUUAAUCGGAAUUACUGGGCGUAAAGCGUGCGCAGGCGGUUUUGUAAGACAGAGGUGAAAUCCCCGGGCUCAACCUGGGAACUGCCUUUGUGACUGCAAGGCUUGAGUGCGGCAGAGGGGGAUGGAAUUCCGCGUGUAGCAGUGAAAUGCGUAGAUAUGCGGAGGAACACCGAUGGCAAAGGCAAUCCCCUGGGCCUGCACUGACGCUCAUGCACGAAAGCGUGGGGAGCAAAACAGGAUUAGAUACCCUGGUAGUCCACGCCCUAAACGAUGUCAACUGGUUGUUGGGAAGGUUCCUUCUCAGUAACGUAGCUAACGCGUGAAGUUGACCGCCUGGGGAGUACGGCCGCAAGGUUGAAACUUAAAUGAAUUGACGGGGUCAUAGC